GGGGGGCAACGUUGGAACCUCCUUACCUAAAGAACGCAAUAUCAGUGCCACCAGAUUGUCUGAUAUAAAAAACUAUUGAAAUCCCUUUAUUGGUUGUAGUAAGGUGGCUAUAGCGUUCCCCCGGUAAUGGUGAGGUCGUUGGUUCAAGUCCACUCAUGCUUACCCCAUCUUUCCGUGUCCUAGUAUACUGUUUUAUUAUUGUUCUUAUACGAAUUUAAAAUAUCUUCGCUUUGUUAAU
rnacentral:misc_RNA from 1 species